rnacentral:rRNA from 1 species
CACUCCUACGGGAGGCAGCAGUGGGGAAUUUUGGACAAUGGGCGAAAGCCUGAUCCAGCAAUGCCGCGUGAGUGAAGAAGGCCUUCGGGUUGUAAAGCUCUUUUGUCAGGGAAGAAACGGUGAAAGCUAAUAUCUUUUGCUAAUGACGGUACCUGAAGAAUAAGCACCGGCUAACUACGUGCCAGCAGCCGCGGUAAUACGUAGGGUGCAAGCGUUAAUCGGAAUUACUGGGCGUAAAGCGUGCGCAGGCGGUUUUGUAAGUCUGAUGGGAAAUCCCCGGGCUCAACCUGGGAAUUGCAUUGGAGACUGCAAGGCUAGAAUCUGGCAGAGGGGGGUAGAAUUCCACGUGUAGCAGUGAAAUGCGUAGAUAUGUGGAGGAACACCGAUGGCGAAGGCAGCCCCCUGGGUCAAGAUUGACGCUCAUGCACGAAAGCGUGGGGAGCAAACAGGAUUAGAAACCCCGGUAGUCCCAUG